CCUACGGGUGGCAGCAGUGGGGAAUAUUGCACAAUGGGGGAAACCCUGAUGCAGCGACGCCGCGUGGAGGAAGAAGGUCUUCGGAUUGUAAACUCCUGUUGUUGAGGAAGAUAAUGACGGUACUCAACAAGGAAGUGACGGCUAACUACGUGCCAGCAGCCGCGGUAAAACGUAGGUCACAAGCGUUGUCCGGAAUUACUGGGUGUAAAGGGAGCGCAGGCGGGAAGACAAGUUGGAAGUGAAAUCUAUGGGCUCAACCCAUAAACUGCUUUCAAAACUGUUUUUCUUGAGUAGUGCAGAGGUAGGCGGAAUUCCCGGUGUAGCGGUGGAAUGCGUAGAUAUCGGGAGGAACACCAGUGGCGAAGGCGGCCUACUGGGCACCAACUGACGCUGAGGCUCGAAAGUGUGGGUAGCAAACAGGAUUAGAUACCCUAGUAGUC
rnacentral:rRNA from 2 species